CUUCCGUAGGGGUGAACCUGCGGAAGGAUCAUUACCGAGUGUAGGGUUCCUAGC
rnacentral:rRNA from 1 species